CUCUGUGACUCCUACGGGAGGCAUCAGUGGGGAAUAUUGCACAAUGGGCGCAAGCCUGAUGCAGCAACGCCGCGUGAGCGAUGAAGGCCUUCGGGUCGUAAAGCUCUGUCCUCAAGGAAGAAUAAAUGACGGUACUUGAGGAGGAAGCCCCCGGCUAACUACGUGCCAGCAGCCGCGGUAAUACGUAGGGGCAAGCGUUAUCCGGAAUCACUGGGCGUAAAGGGUGCGUAGGCGGUUUUCAAGUCAGAAGUGAAAGGCUAUGGCUCAACCAUAGUAAGCUUUUGAAACUGUUAAACUUGAGUGCAGGAGAGGAAAGUGGAAUUCCUAGUGUAGAGGUGAAAUUCGUAGAUAUUAGGAGGAACACCAGUGGCGAAGGCGACUUUCUGGACUGUAACUGACGCUGAGGCACGAAAGCGUGGGGAGCGAACAGGAUUAGAUACCCUGGUAG
rnacentral:rRNA from 1 species